UACGUAGGGGGCUAGCGUUGUCCGGAAUCAUUGGGCGUAAAGAGCGUGUAGGCGGUCCGGUAAGUCCGCUGUGAAAGUCCAGGGCUCAACCCUGGGAUGCCGGUGGAUACUGUCGGGCUCGAGUCCGGAAGAGGAGUGUGGAAUUCCUGGUGUAGCGGUGAAAUGCGCAGAUAUCAGGAGGAACACCAAUGGCGAAGGCAGCACUCUGGGACGUGACUGACGCUGAGACGCGAAAGCGUGGGGAGC
rnacentral:rRNA from 1 species